AUCUCUGCUGUACGUUCCAGGAAUCCUUCUGGUAGCACUUGGCUCAAGUCUUGGUACUCAUUUGGCAUCUCUAUUUUUCCCUUUGGCGGAGGCUGUCGAAGAGACCACAAGAAUCGGUGCUUGCUUUGUUCUAGGGCCUGUGCUAUCUCCCUCACCUAUAAUGGCAAAACAUGAGUUUUUCUUGAGGUUAAUUAUCAAAACCGAAAUUCUUUGGGUCCAAGAUUUGUAGUUGGAAAAGUGAAGUAUUGGUUGGAAUUUAAGAUAGACUUUAAUGGGUCUUUGUUUAUUUAAAGAAAAAAGGAAUCGUUGUUUAAAAUUAAUGCUAUCAUGUGCUUUUGACAUACUAGCUAGUACUCUCUCCCUUCUGAGAGUUCACUUUCAUUAUUAUUGAGCUCUAAAAAAAAAAUCUAUGUUUUUCAAAUUAGGAGGUAUGCAGAAGCACGGGCCCAGGUCCCCUUGCACAUCUCUAUGUCUGCGUCUGGUUCAAAUAGUCUAGCUUGAAAAUAUGACAUAUCACAGUCAGGUAUUCAAAAAGCAAUGCUUUUAGUAACUAUGUAUAAGUAUCAUAUUUUGAUUACCACGUGAGAUGUUAAAAUUGAAAAAAUUGGAUGCAUGUGCUCCACUAUUUUUGAUGCUAUAUAUAAAUGCUUGAUUAUAAUUAUUGUUUUCUAUUUUAAAGAGGGAGAGCUCAUUUCGAGUUUCCUUAGAGCGUCUACUUUGAACGGGUAAUAAUUCAAUGCUCCUAUGAUACUACGUGGCAAUACCUAAGCUAUUUUCAAUUGCACAUUUGUGUGCGCUCCAUAUACGUUGUGAUGGAAAUUAUACAAAUGAGUGAUGGAAAAAAGCUAUACAAAUGUAUGAGUGGUGAAGAAAAGAAUAUGGGAUACUACGUGACAAGUGCCCAGGGGCAUUAAAUAAUUUUUCAUUUGAACCAAGCUUUUGUUGAAACGGUAAUGAUUCCCGCACAUACUUUUGUGCACAUAUCAUGCACAUACAUUUUUGUGGGGCCCAUAUCAGGGUUCCGCAAAAUGAUCCAAACCGCUCAUCUUUUUUAAAAUAUUUUUUGGAGGGUUUCUGUAAAAAAUCAGCUCCAACGGAUAUCGGUAAGGGCUUUAUUAGAAAUCGUAG